CAGGGCGUGUGUGCCGGAGCCCCAGAGGCUGGCAAAAUGCCGUCUCAGGUCACCUACGAGUCUGCUGGGAGGUCACUGUGGCCGUGAUCACACUCACUCCGGAGCACUGGCGAGGAGGGCGAUGCCGACGUCACAGGGCCUCCCUCCCUGCAAGGGAGAGCAUCCUGUCGACACCCCCAGACUUACACACAUUAGAGUUCUGUCCUCAGAACGGGGAGUAGACCCUGGGCAGGUGAGCUCGAGUGUCUGCAGAGAGGACGCUUGAGGAGGGCUCUGGAAGAAUGGCCGGAGCGAUCCAAGUGGACAAGAGCGCAGAAAAGGCAAGAAGUUCAGCAUGCCUAAACGCUCAGAGGCAGGAGAAGGCGUCCACUGCCUUUGGAGACUCAAAUGGAAGAGGGGCGGCGGGGGCAGAGACCAGGACGCACGACAAGGCCGGGGGCAUCUCCAGACUCUCCAGUUGGCAGCAGGCAGGCCCCCGACAGGAAGGGCCAGGGGGUCCGCUUCCCCUCCCACGUGCACGGACUUCACAGAUGGAAGGGCCGUCCCCGGGGGUGUUGUGAGUACCCAUGAAUUAAGUCUCUUAUUUAUAAGAGCAGGGGAUUCUCUCCCUCAGAAAAGUCUAGAGUCUAUGAAACAGUACAUUUUACUUUGAUUCUGUAAAACCAACCCAAAGGCUUUCUUGUUCUUCCCACUUGGACUUCUGCAUGCAUUUAGAGCUGAGUGUGCUCCUGUGGAUAAAGCAGAAUAGCCCACUGCCUGGGAUCCUGGGGCCUGGAGGGUGGGCGCCUCCCCGGCCAGCACGGUAGGCACUGAGGAAGGACGUCGUCACCUGCGGUCCCCGGGCCACUUGCCCGUUAGCAGCAGUGACUCACAUCUACCUGCUUUUCCAAGGACCGUGCCCCAAGAGUCCUAUUCUCCCAUCAGUGGUAUUUAUAGGAUCACCAAAGAGUAUCCCCAUGUCCUCCCAAAGAGACUGCACCCACUGGGAGUGACCGCUCCCUCGCCAGGACCCGUGUACCCACCACCCGGACCUCCAGAUGUCGCUGCUGUGUGCUCUGUGGCAGGGAGGGAGAAGCAGGGUAAGAAAAGUCCUUUUUUUUUUUUUAAUUCACUGUUAUAGCAGCCUCAUGUCAGAGCUGCUUGGGCCCAGCGUGUUCCAGAAUGAAACAGCUCUCUCCGGUUUGACUUACAGCCAUGUCCAACCCUGCACUGAGACCAGCCCCACAGGGCGGGGGCCACCAGAAAGAUCUGAACGGCCUCCUUGGCUUCAGCCAUAGAAAUUUUCUUGCCUCUGGUGGAUCCUGAGGGAUACCUGCCAGCUCGCAGGGAACUCUCCUUCCUGAGAACUGCCAAAGGGAGGGGACCCAGCAAGAGUGUGCAUACAGUGUAUCUCCGCUCCCUGGACACAGCGACGGGACCAGGCAUGGGCAGCUGGCCUGCAGUGGGCCAUUCAGAUGUAUUUCUCACAAGAAUUUGGUGCCGGGGCCAGGAGACACGGGGUCUAUUUCUGUGAGGGCUGGCCCAGGUAACCACGGCCCCCACGUGAGCAGAAAAUCUGAGAAACCACACCCGUGUGCAUGGACAGAGACACAGAGAUGAGAGGGGAAGGAAGGAGCGGGCCGCUGCCCUCCGGCUCCCAGCUCCAGGCCUGUGCUGCCCUGGCUUCCGCGAGGCCUCAUCUCGUCUGUGCCAGCCAGGGCUCUUGGGUGCCUGCAACAGGCCCCACUCUAGCAAGGUUAGCUGACACAGGCAGCCAUCAGGCGACAUUCACGGAGUCUCCAGAAGGGCCAGAGUCAAGCUCAGCCCACAAAGCCAGGAACAGUGUGCAGAUUACCCUGCAAGAAUACACACAGAAGACCACUGCCGUCCACGCCGCCAGGGCCGGGCCACGGGCGCUCCGGCCAGGACCUUCCUCCCACUGUCCUGAGAGCUUGGUCUGUGCCCCAGCGGCGGGAGCCUGCCACUCCGCCCUCCUGGCUUCUACCUUGGGAGGCAGGACAACUGCCCAAGGGGUUCGAAGGGAUCUCAGAGCGUGACCAACAUCGGUGGCAGCACUGUAGUGACGCCUUUCUUUCUACACCCCUUGCUGGCUGCUGCAAGGCCUUCUGAUGCUCAGCACCCUGGUCCCGACCACUGGACCACUGGAGCCGUGGGCAAGUCUGGCUUCCUGCCUGGGUCAGGACAAGCAAGUGCUCAGGACGCACAGUUUAAGGAGGCACUCAGUCUCCCGCUUGUGGAGCGAGAGGGCCUCCUUCAGUUGGGGUCCCGGGGGCCUCCUGGCCUCACCCCAGCCCGGGCCCUGCUCCUGAGGGAUGUGCUUUCCGGACGCCUCUCAGGCCUUAAGCAAACACGGAGGGGAGGCUCACCUCCACUGGUGUUCCUGGCACAUUUCAACAUAUUUGAAUCCACUUGGAAUCCACUGGAAUGCCUGACACAUUUGUUUGGUUGACUGACUAAUUAAUAAUGAUAACAGGAAGCACUUGCCGCACGCUGACCUUGUGCCAAGCACGUAAGUAUUUAAGCAGCACCACAGCUCUGUGAGGUCAUCACUACGAUUAUCCCCAUUGUAUAACUUCUGAGGCACAGAGAGGUUAAGGGACUUGCUGAAGGUCAAACAGCUAGUAACUGGCAGAAUCAGGAUUUGGACCCAAAUCUCUGCACUGCCUCUGUCAAGCCCCACUGAAGGAGGGCAGCUGCGUGGCUGUGAGAGCCACAGGAACAGUGGAAAUGACCGUUUUUAAUUCACUCAAUGUGAGUUAGAAUGGCCGUCGUGCUAUUGAACCCUGGGCCCCUAAAGCCGCUAGUCAUUGUCAUAAUUUGUAGCAUGAGUGUCAGUGGUUGUGCUGUUGCUCCUACCAUGACCUUGACUAUGGGCGAUUACUCUGCUCCGGCUUUAGGUGGGAGCUCUCACGCCCCCCUCGGCACAAGCAGAAGCACAAGCAGCAGAGAUGUGAUUAUCUCUGUUUUACAGUUGGGGAAACUGAGGCACAAAAAAGUCCAGUAAGCUGCCCAUGACCGCACAGUUAGGAAGUAGUGGAGCACAUCAGAGUACAAUGCAGACGGAGCCACAGCGGCUGGGGAGCACAGCCCACCGAGCAGAGCCCAUCCGCCCACCAGAGGCUCUCACGACCGACUGAAACCCGCCUCCUUCUGACGGGCCAUUGGGGGCUAAGCUGAGGCCCAGCUUGGCGCCCCUUCCCUCUCUGCGGCCUGGUUCUGAGGAAAGAUCACUUUCCUCAGAAUCCCCACCCAGUCUCCAGAAGACAAAGGCUUCCAGAGCCCCACAGAACCUUGGCGAUGGGAAGUGGAUUUCUCCCAUCUUCUGCUUUCAGCCAAGUAACAUUUACCUAAGGCCACUUAACACAUGAUAAUAAUUAUAUCACCGCUUUGGAGCUGGGAAGCAUGAGAGUCCAGCAUCCAGUUGGUCAGACAGGCAGAAGAGGCCUGGAAAAGGAUGGGAGAGUGGGAAAAGUUCCCUCUGGUGACCCCUGGGCAAAGCCAACAAGAAAUUCUACAGCUUCCUCCUGGUACUCUCUCUCUCGGGGCAUAAGCUCAGGCACCCUGUGCUGACGCGGAGAAGUCCAGGUCCCCGGCACGAUCCUGUUGAAGAGACCAUGUAGAGAGACCACACAGAGACAGAGAUGCCCAAGGAGCCCCAGCUGUUCAGCCCACAGCUGCCAGAGUCUUCUGAACCCAGGGCCAUACACGCGUGUGAGGGGCCUUUUAGCCGUCUCCAGCCCCUGGCCUUCUAGCAGCCCCAGGUGACACCAAGGGGCACAUAGCCAGACUGUCCCCACCAAGCCCUGCUCAAACUGUAGAUUCA
rnacentral:lncRNA from 1 species